UUUUAUUUAUUAAAUUGAAAAAUUCACAAAUAAUAAAAUUCAAUGCGCACUCAACACGUGCCGCCUAACAUAGAACUAGAGCCAGAAUGCCGUUGGAAUUGCAGGGCUGCUAUUUAACGAGCUCUGUUAUGUUAAGUAAUGUGGCGGUCGAUCGAUAAAUCGCUCUUUUCAUUUGGCGGCAAUUGAGAUCGAAUUUCAAAUUUGAAUUUCUUUGAUGCACUUAGCUUUUAAUCAACGGAUAAUGGAAUUGUCAGCAAGAUCCAUGAUUAGUUGCGCGGCAAUUAAUCAGUUCAUAACGUGGAUCAAGCGAUGCAAUGAUUAGAGGGGCGUUAACUUAAAAAGAAAAAAAGCAAUCUCUACUAUCAUUUCUCGGUUGCAGUUACGCCUGCAAACGUGGGCCACACAUCUGGCUGGCUCAACUUGUUGCCAACUGCCGUUACAAGCUACAACUCUUUGUUGUUGUCACACAAAGACUGAAAUCGAGAGUAAGGCUUAAGUGGAGCAGGGGCUGUUUGCCUUGAUCGCCGGCACUUGCAAUUAUUAAUAGAAAAAUUCACGUAAUGUUGAACGAACGACAAAAAUAAAAAAACAACUGGAUACCAGGUUAAAUAAUUGUAUGCAAACACUUUGGGAGUAACAGAUCCGUCUCAACACCUACGUGGCCCCCCCUCAGUAGAGAGAAGGAGAGAUUGGCUCUCCUAUAUGUCCAGACAUCCCCUAGGCUCAGCUAGUUACGAAAUUGUCGAGUGCAAAUGGACUUAAAUGUAACGCCAAGUCGAUGCAUUUGCGAGCAUGAUAAGCGGAAAGUCGACUGGUCGGUCAGUCGAUUCAAUAAAAGUGUCAAACAAACGAUCGUCUCUGGGGCCUGCCAAUCGCUUGCCACCGCCCACCACAGACUCGGUCUCGGACCCAGAGUCUCGGCAUCAGCACCUCAGUCCAGGUGUAACGCAGAGGCACGCAGGGCGCUGGCUUGGAAUGAGCAAACAAUAAACGGCAAACCGCGAACAGUGAACAGCGAACAGCGAACUGCAGUAGCCAAGUAGACAAGAGUCGACGCCGACGUCGUUGUUGUUACCGUGUCAUGUUGGCAGCCAAGCCCAAUAGCAAUUGGCCAUAAAUCUUGCCUGGCCAGUUGAGUUGCCUGUUGGCUGCCAUUCACUUUUUUUCGUAUACGGUUUUAUUCUUCGCUCGCUGCGUGACGCACGACGCAGUUCAUAGAUGGAGUCGAUUGCCGAAGUCAAUGCAACGCAAAUGAUUUCCUCCUCACCCAACGAAACAAGUUCAAGUUUACGCACUGCAAAACGGAAAAUUGAACGAAAAGGCUUCCUGCUCCACUCGGUUCAUUGGACGCACAUUCCAAACGCACUUUUCAGGUUUUAGUUUUAUUUUUUGUUUCUUUGCAGAAUGUGGCCCACUGAAUGUGGCCAGCAAGAUUAACACAAGCCAAGGCCACAGCCAUAGUAUUCAUUUGGGCCAACGCACAACAAACGCAUUGCACUUUGCUGGCUUUGCUGCCGGUUUCUCGAUCUUGUUUUUGGCCAUUAUGCAGCUUGGCUUUUGUUUUUUUGUUUGUCUACAUUACUUGUUUAUGUUUAUGCUCAUGUGCUCAUGAUAGCGCGUGGGCGACUCAAUGAAUUACUGAAUAAGGUUAAUGGACUAACUGAUCCAAAUACGGGAAUUGAGUGUUAUACGAGGCAAGAGCAAAUAUAUGACUUGUCGUAUUUCAAUUACUUGAUUUUAUGGCACAUUAUUGAGUCGUAGAGCGGUUAUAACUGCGGCUUAAGUGACUAAUUUAACACGACAUUAUGAUCAAGGCAGGAUUAAGCGCACAGCAAAUCGAAAUAAUUUCAAUAAAAUCCAGUCUAGAGCAAGAAUUUAAAUGGUAUUAUUAUACUAUCAGCAACUAUUAUUAAAAGUGUUAU